AGUUCCUGCGAGAGGGAGCUAAUCCGAUAAAGUCGUUCUCAGUUCGGAUUGUAGGCUGCAACUCGCCUACAUGAAGCCGGAAUCGCUAGUAAUCGCGGAUCAGCAUGCCGCGGUGAAUACGUUCCCGGGCCUUGUACACACCGCCCGUCACACCACGAGAGUUUGUAACACCCGAAGUCGGUGAGGUAACCUUUUGGAGCCAGCCGCCGAAGGUGGGAUAGAUGAUUGGGGUGAAGUCGUAACAAGUAUAGCCGUAUA
rnacentral:rRNA from 1 species